UGGCGACCGGCGCACGGGUGAGUAACGCGUAUGCAACCUGCCUACUACAGAGGGAUAACUCGGAGAAAUUCGUGCUAAUACCUCAUAAUACAAGUGUUCCUCAUGGGAAUAUUUGUUAAAGAUUUAUCGGUAGUAGAUGGGCAUGCGUGCCAUUAGCUGGUUGGUAAGGUAACGGCUUACCAAGGCAACGAUGGCUAGGGGAACUGAGAGGUUUGUCCCCCACACUGGAACUGAGACACGGACCAGACUCCUACGGGAGGCAGCAGUGAGGAAUAUUGGUCAAUGGACGAGAGUCUGAACCAGCCAAGUCGCGUGAAGGAUGACUGCCCUAUGGGUUGUAAACUUCUUUUUUAUAAGGAUAAAAUACACUACGUGUAGUGUUUUGCAGGUAUUAUAAGAAUAAGCAUCGGCUAACUCCGUGCCAGCAGCCGCGGUAAUACGGAGGAUGCGAGCGUUAUCCGGAUUUAUUGGGUUUAAAGGGUGCGCAGGCGGGAUAAUAAGUCAGCGGUGAAAUCUACAGGCUCAACCUGUAAACUGCCGUUGAAACUGUUGUUCUUGAGUAUGGAUGAAGUAGGCGGAAUUCGUUGUGUAGCGGUGAAAUGCAUAGAUAUAACGAGGAACCCCGAUUGCGUAGGCAGCUUACUAAGCCAUAACUGACGCUCAAGCACGAAAGCGUGGGUAUCCAACAGGAUUAGAUACCCUGGUAGUCCA
rnacentral:rRNA from 1 species